rnacentral:rRNA from 1 species
AGCGAACGCUGGCGGCAGGCCUAACACAUGCAAGUCGAACGAAGUCUUCGGACUUAGUGGCGGACGGGUGAGUAACACGUGGGAACGUACCUUUUGGUUCGGAACAACUCAGGGAAACUUGAGCUAAUACCGGAUGAGCCCUUAGGGGGUAAGAUUUAUCGCCGAAAGAGCGGCCCGCGUUAGAUUAGCUAGUUGGUGAGGUAAAGGCUCACCAAGGCUACGAUCUAUAGCUGGUCUGAGAGGAUGAUCAGCCACACUGGGACUGAGACACGGCCCAGACUCCUACGGGAGGCAGCAGUGGGGAAUCUUGCGCAAUGGGCGAAAGCCUGACGCAGCCAUGCCGCGUGAAUGAUGAAGGUCUUAGGAUUGUAAAAUUCUUUUACCAGGGACGAUAAUGGCGGUACCUGGAGAAAAAGCCCCGGCUAACUUCGUGCCAGCAGCCGCCGUAACAC